rnacentral:sRNA from 1 species
UUAAUCUGCGAGAAUGUUUCCCGCCUC